rnacentral:lncRNA from 10 species
UCUGCUUUCAGGAAAAGAUUGACAUGUGAAUUCAUGUGAUUGAAUUUUCUGUUCUAAAAUGUGUUCUUGCAGAAUGAAAGUCUUUGUUCUCUCUAACUUGGGGUGGAGGGAUGGAGAGAGAUGUGUGUAGGUCGAUGUGUGUACAUGUAUAUAUAUAUGUCUACAUGGCUAAGGAAGCCCUUGCCCCAUACCCUUCAAGCUCAACAAGUGUAUUCUAAGCACUUUGCAAAGAUAAAACAGUGUAGGGCAGUGACCCUCAACCUUUACUACAUAUUAGGAUUACUGGAGAGGCUUUUGAAACACACCAAUGCCUGGGCCUUACUCCAGCCCAGGUAACCAGACUCUCAGCCAAUGUUUAGAACUACUGGCACAAUGGAACAUAUCUGGGCAUUGGCAUUAGCAGAUGUGGGUUCAAAUCUCAGCUCUGAUAUUUACGAAUGGCACAAACAAGGCCGUGAUACUAAUACUAAUCACACUGCAUUAUAAAGCAGUAAAAUGAUCAGCAGGGCACCUUUCUCAUAGCAGAGGCUCACUAAUUUUGCUUCCUUUACCCCAGUCUGUCAGACAUUUAAGCUAGGUGCUAGAAAUUACUCACACAAAAAAACAAGUAUCAUGUCCAUAUCUGGCUCUAUGAACAGAUACUUUCCUUUUAAAGAAAAAAAAGUUCCCUAAAACUUCUUCCAGAGUAGUGAUUUCUCACCUCUGGAUACACAUCAGAAGCACUCUCAGAGUCUCAGAGUUAAAAAAAAGAAAAGAAAGAAAAGAAAAGAAAAAAGAAAGGAAAAGAAAAAGAAACAAUGCAGAUGGAUAUUGGCUCCACCCCAAAGAUUCUGAUUUAAUUUAAUUGACCUCAAAUAGGGCAGGCAUCAGUAUUUUUAAAAGCUUCUAAUGUGAGUUCAGGAUUGAAAAGAUAGUAUUCUAGAACAAGGAUACACGUACUAUUGUGAAAAAAAACAAUAAAUAAGUGGUCAAAAGAUGGGUUUGCCUCCAGCUCUGCCACUGACAGUAUGACCUUAGAUACAUCACAUAAAUUCUCCAGAAUUGAAAAUGGAGAUAAUAGUGUGUGGCUUAAAGAAUAGUCAUAAGAAUGAAAUGAUAUAAUGUAAGUGAAAGUGCAUUUUAAACCACAAAGCACUGCACAAUUUUAGCUCUUAUCAUUCUGGAGAUGAUGAUGUCUUGGGUUAGCUGCAUGAUUAGUCUACAAUCCUUUCGAGAUUGUCCAGUACCUGGGUCUAAGAAGGAGGGUUUGGAUAUGGGAAUACAUAAGGAUUGAUAACUGUCACAAGACUUUGAUGACUUUCUCCAAAUGGCAAAAGAGAAAGAUUUCCUCUGGGUCAAGAAUCCAUUGAACUUCAAGGCAAAUUGAAACAGAAAAUUUCUUACCAUCCCAAACAAUUUAUCUGAUGGGUAAUUAGUUGCUGAGACUGUAUUUUUGCAAUACAGUUUCUACUUCCCAAAUUUGGCUUCCUCCUGAUCCUCCAAUACUCCCCCACUGACAGGUUUUUGAGGUAGACUGGAAUAGUAAAUCAUUCCAAUCACACAGGUCCUGGGUAUCGGGUUUAAUUUAGCUACCUGUGCAGUAGGAUGCUGGGGUAUUUUCAAAUCUUUAGCCUCCGGCACCAUAAAUCAGUGUGAAUGUCAGCCAAGAAAAGUAUUGAGAUGUGAGUUAGCCUUGUGUCUACAAAUACCGCUCAUUAUUUCUGUAAGAAGGAGAAAAAAAAAUAAAUGUUCCAUUUAAACCCUACUUGUGGCAGGUCUUAAAAAUCAAGAAAGAUGAAUUGGGGAAGUUUCCUAAAAGCUGCUAUGAUUUCCCCCUCCCCCUCAGUUUUCAGACCCUCAUUGCAGGCUGUAGCCAUGUGUCAUUCCGAGAUUUCUUUAAACAGUGGUUCUCAACCUUGGUCGUGUCAUUUGGGAAUCUAGGAGAAAUCAGAAUCUCAGGCCCCACCUCAGACUUGCUGAUUUAGAAUCUGCAUUUUUUUCUUUUUUUUCCUUUUUUUUUUUUUGAGAUGGAAUCUCUCUCUGUUGCCCAGGCUAGAGUAAAAUGGCGUGAUCUCGGCUCACUGCAACCUCCACCUCCUAGAUUCAAGCAAUUCUCAUGCCUCAGCCUCCCAAGUAGCUAGGAUUACAGGCAUACACCACCACACCCUGCUAAUUAUUUUUGUAUUUUUAGUAGAGACAGUGUUUCGCUAUGUUGGCCAGGGAGGUCUGGAACCCCUGACUUCAAGUGAUCCACCCGCCUUGGCCUCCCAAAGUGCUGAGAUUACAGGCAUGAGCCACAGCCUAGAAUCUGAAUUUUAACCUGGAUUUCUCAGAGGUGAUUCCAAAGCCCAUUACAGGCAUGAGCCAGCCUAGAAUCUGAAUUUUAACCUGGAUUUCUCAGAGGUGACUCCAAAGCCCAUUAAAGUUUGAGAAGCCCUGUCUGACAGAAUCAUCUCAUCAAAGCCUCCCAAACCAAUAUGGCAGUUAUUAAAACAAACUCAGCCAGGAGCCAUUACGGGACUAGGUCAGGACCACACAGUUAGUUACUGACAAGCUGAGAUGGGUCCCACAGGCCCCAGAUCUGCUGGUUUCAAAAGCAGAGCACUUUCCACCUCACAACAUUGGCCCUGAUGUAGGGUUGUUUGGGUUUUGUUUAAACAAUCAUUGAGGACACAGUGUCUAUAAUUUAUUUUACAUCUUCUGCACAAAGCAGCUUCUCGGGGAUUAUUCUUCACAGACUAACUGCAGAUAGAAGUAAAAGAGAAAAGUUGUAAGAGACACACCAUCCAGAAAAUGAAGAUGAUGAAAAAAAUUCUACUGAUAAGGACCUUGACAAGAAAGCUGGAGAAAGGCUUUAAUCUAUGGAUUUCUGGUAACCCUGGAAACCGGCACCUCUGAAGCACUGGGAUAAAAAUCCUCAAAGGACUGGGAUGAAGAUUAGUAACAUCAUUAGAUAGAUGGCAGACAGAGCCCUUUGAGAAAUAAAUCAAUACCCAUACAGAUGCAGAAUACCAAUAUAGGAACCUUCCCCCACCAGGUGAUGCCCCGUGGCAAAACACUGUGGCCAUGUCCUAGGUAUACCAAACAUCAGUGGCUUUGACAGAUGAUGUGGCCCUGCCAUCUUGCACUUUCACCCGCCUGAUCCAAACUCUAAGCACCAGCAGUCCAGGCCGUGCCAGAGGCUGAAGGAGCAGCACUACAUGAAGAAAGAUCACUGGAUUGGGUAUAGAGAAACUAAUUAGGUCUCAACAACAGGGAAUGCUUCAGGAAGAGACUGGCCUAUCAGCCUGGACUCAGCACAGAGAUGUGGAACACAGCUGCAACUGGCCCAUGCUGGAAAUAGGAGUGAGAAAUAAACUUUUAUUGUUAUAAAUAUUGAUAUUUGGGAGUCUCAUUCGUUACUACAGCAUAACUGAUUCACACAUCCUUGAAUUCCUACCACAUACAGCAACUUCAUACAGACAGACUGCCAGGUUUGACUCCAGCCCCAACACACCUUGAUCUUCAGAGAGGAAAGAUAGGCCCAGGGAAAAGCAUUGUGAUUUUUGAUGAUUUCAGCACCUGGGUAGUGGUAUGUCAUGUCCUGAGACCUCUGAUUUCAUCUUUCUAAGUUAAAACCUUUAACAAAAUCUCAUCUCAGAACAUAUAAUCCUACUUGAUACUAGGGUCACCUUUGAAUAAACUAAGCAUUAUCAUAUGGGAAGGCCGGGGUGGACUCUCAUUACAUGGAUCUCUUUUAGACCUUAUAAAACGAAAUCAACCACGUAGCCUUCCCAGGCCAUCCUUCUACUCGUUUAGUAAAUUACCAAACUCGAUACAAUACUACAAAAUUGAAUUUCCAAAAACCCAGCCAUAAUCAUUAGAGGUGUUAUUUUUCUAUGUCAAAUUUUCUUCAUGUAUGGAUUUCAUUUCUUCUCUUUAUCGCCUUCUCAACAAUGUAAAUAAGAUUGUAAGGUCAGAAGAACGCUGCUCUAGAGUUUGACAACGUAGGUUUAAUUAUGCCACAUUCCCCCAUUGUACCCAUGGGCAUGUUUUUAACUCUCUUGGGGCUUCCCCUCCUCAUCUGCAAGUUUGGGAUAACUACUCAGAGACUGCCAGUUGCUGUGGGGCGUGUCUGGCACAGAGUAAGUAGGCAUUCCAGAACUGCUGGCUUCUCACUGUAUUGCAUUUUCCAAGCCCAGAUUUCCUCCUUAUUGAUAACAGAUAAAUUCCAGGGAGAUCUAUUUUCAGGAGGCAUUGCCCCCAUUAAGCUAACGUGUUAAAAUUGUGUACAUGUGUGUUUUUCCUCCUGUCCCUAC